UCAGAUAUCGAGUGGAGCUGGAACGUUCGUUAGAAGAAAGGAGACGAAGGAACGAUCGAAAGCUUUGUGGAUCUUUAACGUUGCCUCUGGCAAACGUUAUUUUCAUAAUCGUCUAUUCGUUAGCUGAUAUAUCUACCCUACGUAGCAGCAUAACCGUAAACAUAAACGGAUGCCUCCCGGCAUAUUGGAAGUUUGCCGAAAUAAUCGACCGAUUUUCCCAUUAUCGGAAACGUCAUCAUUGUCCGAAUGAAGUCCCGUAAGUAAUUAAACCAAUCGACUAGUUUGUUUAUGAUUAAAU
rnacentral:lncRNA from 1 species